CUUAUAAAAAAAGCUCAGAGCGGCAAAAAUAACAGCAUCGCAUUCACAUAAUCGUCAAUGGUGUUCGCGUUUGUGUAGUUUCUCAUCGUGUUCUGGAUUCUUCGCUCGCGUUUUGGAUUGCAUCACGUCUUCAGAAUCUUCGCUCGCGUUUUGGAUUGCAUCAGUUCACGUUUGCAGAAUUUCAUGGAUUGCACCGCGUCUUCAGAAUCUUUGCUCGCGUUUCGGAUUGCAUCCGCCUUCAGAAUCUUCACUCGCAUUCUUCAUUGCGGAUUCAUAUUCUUCGCAUUGUGUUCUCAUAACAAUUAGCUUCACAUUUUGUUCUUCGCACUCGAUUCACAUUUUCAGCGUCGUGUUCAAGGAUGGCAUCGUGUUCAUGGAUAGAAUUUCAGAAAUUCAACCUUCUUCACAUCAUGAUUUGCAUUUCAGAAUUCUUCGCUCAUGAUUCGCGUUUGAACCUCACGAAUUCAACAACGGAUUGAAGCAAACUCACCGGUUUCGAUGCGGCAGCAAAAACAGGAGUGUUUUGGACUUGAAAUUUGGUGAAACUUGCUUAUGUUGGCAUUGGCUUGAGAAGUUUGGAAUGGUCUUGGCUUGGAGUUUGUUUGAGGAAUUGUUUGCUUGGCAUGAAGACUUGGAAUGGAAAUUGUAACUUUUGUUAUAAUUGGGGAAUUCUAAUGUAAAUGUAAAAAUUAGUUUGGAUUUGUAGGUUUUAUGAAUUGUAAAUUGGAAAAUAUGGAAUGGUUGUAAUUGAAAAAAUGUCAUUGGGAUUUGCAAAAAUAUGGUUUUAUGUCAUUUUGGUUUGAGAUUUGGAAUGGACAAGUAUGUUGGAAUUUGAAUGUAUAAAUGUAAAGUUGGAAUUUGAAUGUAUAAA